rnacentral:ribozyme from 13 species
GAAGUGCCAAUUGUCGAAUGGGUUAAAUCUUUUGAACUUUUUGGUUUUUGGGCCAUGAAUUGUUUCUUGACUUUUUUCUUUGUUCCAGGAGUCCCUCCAACACUUGUAAGAGAAGAAGAAGAAGCAAAAGCAGGAAAAGUAGAAUUUGGAGAAGAAGAAGAAUGAGGAGUAGAAGAAG